rnacentral:lncRNA from 1 species
GCCUCCCGCCUCCCAGGGUCUCCCCGCUGGCUGUGGGUACCUCCGUCUUCCUCGCGGCCGUCUGCUGUCCCGCACCCGUCCUCCCUGGCCUCGCAGGCGCCCCCUCCCCGCCGUGGCCCCCCACAGGUCCACGGGAGACCUUCGGACAGGGCUCUUCGGCCACAGUCACGAGGAAACUUGUCAGCAGACCCCACCGACGACAGAGCAGCGGGGAAUGGACGCGGGUUCCUAGCAUCCUCCGUGGCAGAAACCCCAGGACGGCAGUGAUUUUCUUGAAAAUGCACGCCCCGAUUUGUUUGAAAUAA